rnacentral:rRNA from 1 species
AGGGUUUGACCCUGGCUCAGAACGAACGCUGGCGGCGUGGAUCAGGCAUGCAAGUCGAGCGAGAAAGUACCCUUCGGGGUGCGAGUAAAGCGGCAAAAGGGGUAGUAAUUCAUAAAUAACGUACCCGGCAGCCUGGGAUAACUCUGGGAAACCGGAGCUAAUACCAGGUACGUUGGCCGUCUCAAAGAGGCGGUCAAGAAAGGAGGGGACCUUCGGGCCUUCCACUGGCGGAGCGGUUUAUGUCGUAUUAGCUUGUUGGUAGGGUAAUGGCCUACCAAGGCGAAGAUGCGUAGGGGGCCUUAGCGGGUGUUCCUCACCACCGGAACUGAGACACUGUCCGGACACCUACGGGUGGCUGCAGUCGAGAAUCUUCCGCAAUGGACGAAAGUCUGACGGAGCGACGCCGCGUGAAGGAUGAAGGCUUUCGGGUUGUAAACUUCUGUCAAGUGUUAGGAAUAAUCGGCGUUUAAUAUGCGUCGUGAUGACAAAGGCACUAGAGGAAGCCACGGCUAAAUAUGUGCCAGCAGCCGCGGUAAUACAUAUGUGGCGAGCGUUGUUCGGAAUUACUGGGCAUAAAGAGUUCGUAGGCGGCUAUAUAAGUCGGAUGUGAAAUCCCUCAGCUUACCUGAGGAACUGCAUCCGAUACUGUGUAGCUGGGGUCCCUGAGGGGAAAGCGGAAUUCCAGGUGUAGCGGUGAAAUGCGUAGAUAUCUGGGAGAAGGCCAAUGGCGAAGGCAGCUUUCUGGCGGGUGACCGACGCUGAGGAACGAAAGUCAGGGGAUCGAACGGGAUUAGAUACCCCGGUAGUCCUGACCGUAAACGGUGAGCACUUGAUGAUGUGGGCGCUGAUCCCUCAUUGUCGUAGCAAAUGCGUUAAGUGCUCCGCCUGGGUAGUACGAUCACAAGGUUAAAACUCAAAGGAAUUGACGGGGGCUCACACAAGCGGUGGAGCAUGUUGCUCAAUUCGAACCAACGCGAAGAACCUUACCUGGGCUUGAACUGCAGGGAUUAGCUUCCUGAAAGGGUUGUGACGCCGCAAGGUGGAACCUGUAGAGGUGUUGCAUGGCUGUCGUCAGCUCGUGCCGUGAGGUGUCAGGUUAAGUCCUUUAACGAGCGGAACCCUUGCCCUUAUUUACCAGCGGGUCAUGCCGGGGACUAUAGGGGGACUGCCGGUGCCAAACCGGAGGAAGGUGGGGACGACGUCAAGUCAUCAUGGCCCUUAUGUCCAGGGCUGCAAACGUGCUACAAUGGCGACCACAAAGUGUUGCGAAAUCGCGAGAUGGAGCCAAUCAUCAAAGGUCGUCUCAGUUCGGAUAGCAGGCUGAAACCCGCCUGCUUGAAGUCGGAAUCGCUAGUAAUCGCGGGUCAGCCAUACCGCGGUGAAUACGUUCCUGAGCCUUGUACACACCGCCCGUCAAGCCACGAAAGCUGGGGGCGCCCGAAGCCACUGUUGCUAACCCGCAAGGGAAGCAGGUGUCCACGGUGAAACCAGUAAUUGGGACUAAGUCGAAACAAGGUA